rnacentral:misc_RNA from 1 species
AAAUAAUUUAAAAUUAAAUUUGACAAGUUUUAAUAAGAAAAACACUAAAAUAAUAAAACAACUUUUUCCAAACUAUUUUUUCAAUAGUAUAAAAAUGAUUUUUUUUAAAAAAAUUAAUUUUAGCCCUCUAACUUUAAUGCUAAACAAACACUUAGUUUUCUAGUAAAAAACUAAAAUAAUUAAAUUAACCAAAGUUUUAUGUAUUUAUUUUUUAUGCAAAUAUCAUGUAUAGCAAGAAAAAAUUCUUAAUAAACAAUUGAAUAAAAAAAAAUAUUUUGAUUCAAUUUAAUUCACAAUAGAUUUGAUUUGAUUCAAUUUAAUUCAUCUGUUUAAUAGGAUUGCAUUUUUCACACUUUCUAAUUCACUUUUCAUUUAUUUCUGUUCUCAUUUUUAUUCAUUACAAGAUUAAUUAUCCAUACUCAACUCAACUCAACUCA